rnacentral:rRNA from 1 species
CACGUAGGGUGCGAGCGUUGUCCGGAAUUAUUGGGCGUAAAGAGCUCGUAGGCGGUGUGUCGCGUCGGCCGUGAAAACCUGCAGCUUAACUGUGGGCUUGCGGUCGAUACGGGCAUCACUGGAGUUCGGCAGGGGAGACUGGAAUUCCUGGUGUAGCGGUGAAAUGCGCAGAUAUCAGGAGGAACACCGGUGGCGAAGGCGGCAUCCUGGACCGGCAUUGACGCUGAGGCGCGAAAGCUAGGGGAGCAAACGGG